CAGAUCCUACGGGACGCAGCAGUGAGGAAUAUUGGUCAAUGGACGCAAGUCUGAACCAGCCAAGUAGCGUGCAGGAUGACGGCCCUCCGGGUUGUAACCUGCUUUUAGUUGGGAAUAAAAGGGGGCUCGUGAGCCCCGUAUUGUAUGUACCAUCAGAAAAAGGACCGGCUAAUUACGUGCCAGCAGCCGCGGUAAUACGGAAGGUCCGGGCGUUAUUCGGAUUUAUUGGGUUUAAAGGGAGCGUAGGCUGGCUUUUAAGUCAGCUGUGAAAGCCCGCGGCUCAACCGUGGAAUUGC
rnacentral:rRNA from 1 species